GACGAACGCUGGCGGCGUGCCUAAUACAUGCAAGUAGAACGCUGAAGGAGGAGCUUGCUUCUCUGGAUGAGUUGCGAACGGGUGAGUAACGCGUAGGUAACCUGCCUGGUAGCGGGGGAUAACUAUUGGAAACGAUAGCUAAUACCGCAUAAGAGUAGAUGUCGCAUGACAUUUGCUUAAAAGGUGCAAUUGCAUCACCACCAGAUGGACCUGCGUUGUAUUAGCUAGUUGGUGAGGUAACGGCUCACCAAGGCAACGAUACAUAGCCGACCUGAGAGGGUGAUCGGCCACACUGGGACUGAGACACGGCCCAGACUCCUACGGGAGGCAGCAGUAGGGAAUCUUCGGCAAUGGACGGAAGUCUGACCGAGCAACGCCGCGUGAGUGAAGAAGGGUUUCGGAUCGUAAAGCUCUGUUGUAAGAGAAGAACGAGUGUGAGAGUGGAAAGUUCACACUGUGACGGUAUCUUACCAGAAAGGGACGGCUAACUACGUG
rnacentral:rRNA from 1 species